UGUACCCUACCUCACCCUUGAUACUCAGAUAACAUUUUGACCAUGUGAACAAAACACCCACUGCCUACAAUUAAUCAUUUCUCACGACCUCUUGUAACACAUGCUUUCAGUUAGAUGACACUACGCUUGAAAGGUGCUACGUUCAAGUGCAAGGUUGUCGGUAAAUUGUGGAUGCUUACCGAGACUGAAAGUCUCUCCUUUAACGUGUAUCACAACCAUGGGUAUCAGCACCAGCACUACAAUGUUGACCACGUGCACAAUCAUACCGGCGCUUUCCAUGAGUAUGUCCGCCGCCAGGCCUUUUUCUACUAUUAAACAAAUCAUUAUAGGAACUAUCGUAU